rnacentral:rRNA from 1 species
GAUGAACGCUAGCGGCAGGCUUAAUACAUGCAAGUCGUGGGGCAGCAGGGUUGUAGCAAUACAAUCGCUGGCGACCGGCAAACGGGUGCGUAACACGUACGCAACCUUCCCGUUACUGUGGCAGAGCCCAGGGAAACUUGGAUUAAUCCCACAUAUUAUAUUGAGGGGGCAUCCUCUUGAUAUCAAAGCUUCGGCGGUAACGGAUGGGCGUGCGGUUGAUUAGGUAGUUGGCGGGGUAACGGCCCACCAAGCCUACGAUCAAUAGCUGAUGUGAGAGCAUGAUCAGCCACACGGGCACUGAGACACGGGCCCGACUCCUACGGGAGGCAGCAGUAAGGAAUAUUGGGCAAUGGACGAAAGUCUGACCCAGCCAUGCCGCGUGAAGGAUUAAGGUCCUCUGGAUUGUAAACUUCUUUUCUCUGGGGCGAAAACCAGCUAUUCUUAGCUAUUUGACAGUACCAGAGGAAUAAGCACCGGCUAACUCCGUGCCAGCAGCCGCCGUAAAAC